GCAAGUCGAGCGGUAACAUUUCUAGCUUGCUAGAAGAUGACGAGCGGCGGACGGGUGAGUAAUGCUUGGGAAUAUGCCUUAUGGUGGGGGACAACAGUUGGAAACGACUGCUAAUACCGCAUAACGUCUACGGACCAAAGGGGGCUUCGGCUCCCGCCUUUAGAGAAGCCCAAGUGGGAUUAGGUAGUUGGUGAGGUAAAGGCUCACCAAGCCGACGAUCCCUAGCUGGUCUGAGAGGAUGAUC
rnacentral:rRNA from 1 species